UUGUGAUGCUUCUGUGUCAUGACAGAACUGCAUAAGCAGGUGAAACUUCUUAGAGGGACUGGCGCUCAAAAAGGCGCACGAGAAAGAGCAAUAACAGGUCUGUGAUGCCCUAAGAUGUCCGGGGCCGCACGCGUGCUACAAUGACGAUGCUAGUGAGCAUGAUUAACUUGCCCGAAAGGGUAGGUAAAACUGUUUAAUCAUCGUCGUGACUGGGAUUGGGGUUUGCAAUUAUCCCCCAUGAACCAGGAAUUCCUAGUAAGCACAAGUCAUAAGCUUGUGCUGAUUACGUCCCUGCCCUUUGUACACACCGCCCGUCGCUACUACCGAUUGAAUGGCUUAGCAAGGUCAUUGGAUUGAGUCUUUGCAGUUAACCCUGCUUUGAUUCGAGAAGAUGCCCGAACUUGGUCAUUUAGAGGAAGUAAAAGUCGUAACAAGGUUUCCGUAGGUGAACCUGCGGAAGGAUCAUUAUCAAAUUCCUCAUUUAUUAGAUUCACCAUGUGCCACUGGUUACUAGAGGCAGUGCCGCGUGCGGUUCCAUUCCGCUAGGCACACUGUGAUACAGAAGUGGUUGGAGCGGUCUAAGCGGUAAACAUGUAUCGCCUAGUGCUGGCUCCUUCUCACCUUCAACCUCCCCAGUCCGGUGCCCUGAUGGCAUGUACAGUUGUGGUAGCGUUGUGCAUGCUUUCUUGGUACUACUUUACUCAUUCUUGGACUGGGCCUUGGUUGACGUUACCACCCCUCCGUCCCCUGGACGCCUGUCUUAUUACUCAUUACCCCCACGUGUGUGUGUCGUGCUGCUUGGGCAUGCACUGGCAUUGUCGAGAGUACUCCCGUCCCAGGAUGGUCGCAGUAUGUUCGUCUCUGCUUGUGUGUG
rnacentral:sRNA from 1 species